UACGUAGGGUGCGAGCGUUAAUCGGAAUUACUGGGCGUAAAGCGUGCGCAGGCGGUUCGUUAAGUCAGCUGUGAAAGCCCCGGGCUCAACCUGGGAAUUGCGGUUGAAACUGGCGGACUAGAAUCUGGCAGAGGGGGUGGAAUUCCACGUGUAGCAGUGAAAUGCGUAGAGAUGUGGAGGAACACCGAUGGCGAAGGCAGCCCCCUGGGUUAACACUGACGCUCAGGCACGAAAGCGUGGGGAGCAAACAGG
rnacentral:rRNA from 1 species